GGAGGAGGCAAGCGUUGUCCGGAAUCAUUGGGGCGUAAAGAGCGCGUAGGCUGUUUUUCAAGUCAUAUGUGAAAAACCUCAGGGCUCAACUUGAGGACUGCAUAUGAAACUGGAUAACUUGAGUGCAGUAGGGGAAAGUGGAAUUCCUGGUGUAGCGGUGAAAUGCGCAGAUAUCAGGAAGAACACCGGUAGCGAAGGCGGCUUUCUGGGCUGCUACUGACGCUGAGGCGCGAAAGCUAGGGGAGCAAACAGGAUUAGAUACCCUGGUAGUCCUAGCUGUAAACGAUGGACACUAGGUGUGGGAAGUUAUCGACGCUUUCCGUGCCGGAGCUAACGCAUUAAGUGUCCCGCCUGGGGAGUACGGCCGCAAGGCUA
rnacentral:rRNA from 1 species